rnacentral:pre_miRNA from 1 species
CCCACACCCAUGUGUGUAGGACCCUAAAGGAUCACCAUGAAAUUUGGCACAAAUCUCUAGAAAAAUUAUUAUAUAAGUAUAGGAUUUGAUUUUUCUAGAGAUUUGUGCUAAAUUUAAUGGUGAUCAUUUGAGGUCUUACAUACAUAGGUGUGGG